rnacentral:rRNA from 1 species
ACGGGUGCGUACGCGUGGGAACCUGCCUUAGGUUCGGAAUACUCAGAGAAAUUUGAGCUAAUACCGGAUAAUGUCUUCGGACCAAAGAUUUAUCGCCUUUAGAUGGGCCCGCGUUAGAUUAGAUAGUUGGUGGGGUAAUGGCCUACCAAGUCGACGAUCUAUAGCUGGUCUGAGAGGAUGAUCAGCCACACUGGGACUGAGACACGGCCCAGACUCCUACGGGAGGCAGCAGUGGGGAAUAUUGGACAAUGGGCGAAAGCCUGAUCCAGC